rnacentral:rRNA from 1 species
AGAGUUUGAUCCUGGCUCAGAUUGAACGCUGGCGGCGUGCCUAACACAUGCAAGUCGAGCGGUAACAGGUGUAGCAAUACAUGCUGACGAGCGGCGAACGGGUGAGUAAUGCUUUGGAAUCUUCCCAGUAGUGGGGAAUAACCAGUCGAAAGAUUGGCUAAUACCGCAUACGUCUGUAAAGGGAAAGCGGGGGCUCGUAAGACCUCGCGCUAUUGGAUGAGCCAAAGUCGGAUUAGCUAGUUGGUGGGGUAAUGGCCUACCAAGGCGACAAUCCGUAGCUGGUCUGAGAGGACGACCAGCCACACCGGAACUGAGACACGGUCCGGACUCCUACGGGAGGCAGCAGUGGGGAAUAUUGGACAAUGGGGGAAACCCUGAUCCAGCGACGCCGCGUGUGUGAAGAAGGCCUGCGGGUUGUAAAGCACUUUUAGUGGGGACAAAAAGCUACGGAUUAAUACUCUGUGGUCUUGAUUUAACCCAAAGAAAAAGCACCGGCUAACUCUGUGCCAGCAGCCGCGGUAAUACAGAGGGUGCGAGCGUUAAUCGGAAUUACUGGGCGUAAAGCGCGCGUAGACGGUUUUGUAAGUCAGAUGUGAAAUCCCUGGGCUCAACCUGGGAACUGCAUUUGAGACUGCAUGGCUAGAGUAUCGAAGAGGGAAGUGGAAUUUCCGGUGUAGCGGUGAAAUGCGUAGAUAUCAACAGGAACAUCAGAGGCGAAAGCGGCCACCUGGCAAUGUACUGACGCUGAGGAACGAAAGCGUGGGGAGCAAACAGGAUUAGAUACCCUGGUAGUCCACGCCAUAAACGAUGAUAACUAGUGUUGGGGGGAGUUGACCCCCUCAGUACCGUAGCUCACGCGCUAAGUUAUCCGCCUGGGGAGUACGGCCGCAAGGCUAAAACUCAAAGGAAUUGACGG